GACGAACGCUGGCGGCGUGCUUAACACAUGCAAGUCGAACGAAGUGGCGAACGGGUGAGUAACGCGUAAUCAACCUGCCCUUCAGAGGGGGACAACAGUUGGAAACGACUGCUCAUACCGCAUACUGAAGGUGGGGCUUGCGUCUGGUUAGCUAGUUGGGGGGGUAACGGCCCACCAAGGCGAUGAUCAGUAGCCGGGCUGAGAGGAGGAACGGCCACAAUGGGACGGAGAAACGGCCCAGACUCCUACGGGAGGCAGCAGUGGGGAAUUUUCCGGAAUGGACGAAAGUCUGACGGAGCAACGCCGCGUGGGUGAUAACGGCCUUCGGGUUGUAAAGCUCUGUUAAUCGGGACGCGGUACCGGAAUAGAAAGCCACGGCUAACUACGUGCCAGCAGCCGCGGUAAUUC
rnacentral:rRNA from 1 species